rnacentral:rRNA from 1 species
GCAGGCUUACACAUGCAAGUCGAACGGUAGCAGGUAAGUACUUGUACUUAUGCUGACGAGUGGCGGACGGGUGAGUAAUGCUUGGGGAUCUGGCUUAUGGAGGGGGAUAACGACGGGAAACUGUCGCUAAUACCGCGUAGAAUCGAGAGAUGAAAGUGUGGGACCUUCGGGCCACAUGCCAUAGGAUGAACCCAAGUGGGAUUAGGUAGUUGGUGGGGUAAUGGCCUACCAAGCCGACGAUCUCUAGCUGGUCUGAGAGGAUGACCAGCCACACCGGGACUGAGACACGGCCCGGACUCCUACGGGAGGCAGCAGUGGGGAAUAUUGCGCAAUGGGGGCAACCCUGACGCAGCCAUGCCGCGUGAAUGAAGAAGGCCUUCGGGUUGUAAAGUUCUUUCGGUGACGAGGAAGGUUGUUGUGUGAAUAGCACAACAAAUUGACGUUAAUCACAGAAGAAGCACCGGCUAACUCCGUGCCAGCAGCCGCGGUAAUA